GACGAACGCUGGCGGCGUGCUUAACACAUGCAAGUCGAACGGAAAGGCCCUUCGGGGUGCUCGAGUGGCGAACGGGUGAGUAACACGUGGGUGAUCUGCCCUGCACUUUGGGAUAAGCCUGGGAAACUGGGUCUAAUACCGAAUAUGAUCAUCGGCUUCAUGGUCGGUGGUGGAAAGCUUUUGCGGUGUGGGAUGGGCCCGCGGCCUAUCAGCUUGUUGGUGGGGUAAUGGCCUACCAUGGCGACGACGGGUAGGCGGCCUGGGAGGGUGACCGGCCACGCUGGGCCUGAGAUCCGUCCGAGAUUCCUACGGGAGGCAGCAGUGGGGAGUAUUGCACAAUGGGCGCACGCCUGAUGCAGCGACGCCGCGUGAGGGAUGACGGCCUUCGGGUUGUAAAUCUCUUUCAGCACAGACGAAGCGCAAGUGACGGUAUGUGCAGAAGAAGGACCGGCCAACUACGUGCCAGCAGCCGCGGUAAUAC
rnacentral:rRNA from 1 species